rnacentral:sRNA from 1 species
AUGAGCACCUGCCUCGGGGACCUGAAGGAAGCCCAUGGAAGGCCAUGGCCAAAGGAGUUCAUCGCCCUGGGUCCAGAAGAAUCUGCCCAGCAGAUGGUCCUGCGGAGGAUCCAGGAGCUUUCUGAUUCAGACCAGCAAGACCCCUUCAUGCUGGCUGACCUGGACAUGCUGGCCAGCCGCCAUCAGGCCUUCUGCCAAGCCCUGCCACAGGUCUCGCCCUUCUAUGCAGUGAAGUGCAACAGUAGCACUUGGGUGCUGCGUGUCCUGGCCGCCCUGGGCACCGGCUUUGACUGUGCCAGCCAGGUGGAACUGGAGCAGGUGCUGGGCCUGGGUGUGGCCCUCUCGUGCAUCAUCUAUGCCAGCCCCUGCAAGCCUGCCUCCCCCAUCCGGUAUGCUGCCCAGCACGGGGUGCAGCUCCUGAACUUCGACAGCGAGGAGGAGCUCACCAAGGUGGCCCAGCACCACCCCAGGACCAGGACAGUCAGAGCACCUUCCCUCUGAGCACCAAGUUCGGGGCCAGCCUGGAAGCAUGUGGGCACCUGCUCACGUCUGCCAGGGACCUGGGGUUGGCCGUGGUCGGAGCCAGCUUCCACGUGGGCUCCAACUGCCAGACACCCCAGAGUUUCACACAAGCUAUCGCUGACUGCCGGUGCGUGUUUGAAGUGGGCCACAGGGGCUGGGCAUGAUAUGAGCUGCCUGGACAUUGGAGGAGGCUUCCCCGGAAUGGAGGGCUCCGGAUCCAAGUUUGAGGAGUUGGCAAGAGUGAUCAGUGCUGCCCUGGCCCAGGACUUCCCUGAGGAGUGUGGUGUCAAGGUCAUCGCAGAGCCUGGCCGCUUCUAUGUGGAGUCUGUCUGCACGGCCGCUGUCAACAUCAUUGCCAAGAAGGCUGUGCUGGAGCCCGGAGGCAGCCGGAAGCUGAUGUAUUAUCUCAAUGACGGCCACUAUGGCUCCUUCCGCCUCUGCCACCGACAGCCUGUCCCAAGGGUUCCCAUCGUGGUGAAGGUUCUGCUCAGAGCCGCCCCUCUUCCCCUGCACCCUCUAUGGUCCCACGUGCGAUGCCUUUGACAGGCUCUUCCUGGAGGAUGUGCGGCUGCCCGAGCUGGAUGUAGGCGAUUGGCUGGUCUUCCCCUCCAUGGGCGCCUACAUGUCCUCCAUGAGCUCCAGCUUCAAUGGCUUCCUGCCCGCCACCAUCUGCUACACAAUGGGCCCCCAGCUCGGGAGCCUUCUGGAGGCAGAGCCUUAA